rnacentral:tRNA from 1 species
AGGUCUGUAGCUCAAUUGGUAGAGUAGCGGUCUCCAAAACCGCCUGUUGGGGGUUCGAGUCCCUCCAGGCCUG